AUAUCUUUGGCAGCUGUAAAGUUUCUGCUCCUUCAAAGUUCACAACACAAUGAAUGAAUUCCUAAAACACUCUCAAUGCUGGAGAGCGUUUGUGAUGCUGAAGCAGUGACCAGUUUUUCUGUUUCUUCUCUGGAGAUGCACAAUGAGGGACGUCUGCAGAGACUGAGAAAGAGUCUCACCACAUCCUGACAUGAGGAAAAAGACUUUAUUGAAGACUAGAAUGAGAAAAACUAUCAGACAGCAGACGGCUGCAUUCAAGUUUAGGCUGUUAGAUUGUUCCAGAUAAGACAAGUACAAGAUUCUUCAGAGCCGUUCUACCAGGAGCCUGACAGGAAGAACUCCAACAGCUACUG
ensembl:lncRNA